AAGUCGUAACAAGGUUUCCGUAGGUGAACCUGCGGAAGGAUCAUUACAACGUAUCCACGUACCAAACUCUCGAACUGUUCCCAACGGAGCAAACCACUUGUGGAUGAAGUUAAUGGCUGGCUGUCUUUCGCUGAUGGAGUCCACUGACUUUUGUCAGAGGGCUGAAAGGCAUUCAGUCGCCAGAGCUCUGCUUUGGGACUUCGUUUGCUUCGUUGCGGUUUUUACCGUCAGCAACGUUUUACUAUCAUUAACCCUUUGAACUUCUGAACUGAACUUGAAAGCCUCGCAGCAGUCCUCGCUGGCUUCGGUCACGGACUUUGCAGCUUGGUUUUUCUGAUUUUACGAAACAAAGAACAACUCUUAGCAACGGAUAUCUUGGUUCUC
rnacentral:misc_RNA from 1 species